CGACAUUAAGGACGACGCACGGAGGAUAGACGCAGGGAAGUUUUUUUCCACUUUUUAGUAAUAGUAUUUUCUUUUAAACUUAUUUAUCGCGGGGGAUCUAUCGCAUAUAAAAUAUAAAACGUUUUAUUGUCGAAGAAGAAAGACUCACAACAACGCCAUGAGUGCUGGGACAUAUUUGGGUCUCUGCUUGAGUUUACUGGUCAUCCACGUCUCGUUGGGCUCUGCAGCUUCAGACCAGCAGAUCUUACGACAUCCUGGGAUGAGUGUCAAUCUGACAUUUCAGGUUCCCACUGACACCACAUCUGUAUGGCUAAAAAGACUUGAAAAAUAUAAAAACAAUGAUAAAUAUAUCUCCUACUGCCAAGACUCAACACCAACACGUCCCAGUGACCAGGAGGAGUCAAUCAAGGGUCGGGUGGAGGGGAUGGACUGUAGCAAUAUCAGCGGCACAGUCUCUGUAACAUUGAAGAACCUGACCAGCAACGACAGUGGGACAUACGAGCUUCAAGGGGUGGACCAUCGUGGAAGAUACUUUAAUAAAACGGUCUUCCUCAACGUUACUGACCCAGGUCAGACAGGAGGAGACACAGAGGAUGGAGGGAAGGAGGAUGGAGGGAAGGAGGAUGGAGCCAGUAGAGAACAUCCUGGGCUGGCAGUCAGUCUUUGUUUUGGUGUGGUUGUGUGUGGUUGUGUAUGUGCGCCAGCUGCUAUAAAGUGGCUUACAAAUUGCUGUAAAAAGAAUUCACCCUUUUCUCCUCCUUCUAAUAAUGAAUCUGACAGAGAAACAAAGCAAAUAACAUUAAUAAUCUGCAAAUAAUUCAGUAAUCUAACAAUUCUAAGUGAGACCACAAACACAUUCUUGUCCAAAGCUCAAAUUCUACAAAAACCUUUCCACUGCAAUAGAGUGGAGGGGAUUUUGAGUUUACUGCUUUAAAAACUGCAUCCUCACAGCAUAGAGAUCCGUGUGACAGAUACAGUUUGGUCGUUCUGUCUGUCCCUGCAUAUCUUCUCUCUGUGUACUCGAGCUUCCUCCCAGUCCAAAGGUUUGCAUGCUCGCCUAAAUAGCAGUCCUAUAUUGGCCAUAGACGUGUAUGUGAGUGUGAGGUUGUCUCUGUGUCGGAGUCUGAUGACUGGUGCCCCAUUUUUUACCUUAUGUCACCUGACAUAGCCCGUCCCCCCAACAUUUUUUCUUUAUGCAAUUUGAAAGAACCCAGUGCAUCUGAAUGAAAAGAAACAAUAGGAGUGAAGACAAGUCUCUAGCAAAGUGGGGUGACCACUACAUCUGAACCCACCAAAGUUCUGGGACGUCAGCAGAUGAGGAAGGCAAGCACAUGCCCCAACUGAGGGCGUCGACAGAUGGGGAAAUGCAAGUGGGCCCCAACCUGGGAUGUCUGCGGAUGGGGAAACGCAAGCGGGCCCCAACCUGGGAUGUCGGCGGAUGGGGAAACGCAAGCGGGCCCCAACCUGGGAUGUCGGCGGAUGGGGAAACGCAAGCGGGCCCCAACCUGGGAUGUCGGCGGAUGGGGAAACGCAAGCGGGCCCCAACCUGGGAUGUCGGCGGAUGGGGAAACGCAAGCGGGCCCCAACCUGGGAUGUCGGCGGAUGGGGAAACGCAAGCGGGCCCAACCUGGGAUUUCUGCGGAUGGGGAAACGCAAGCGGGCCCCAACCUGGGAUGUCGGCGGAUGGGGAAAUACAAGCGGGCCCCAACCUGCCCGUGUGGAAAACUUAAAUAAAUACCUAUUUUAAAUGCGUUGUGUAUUCGACUUAUCUGUUGUCGUAUGUUGAAAUGUUGGGCAUCAUGAUCCAAUCAAAAGAAUAUGCAGGGAAAAGUGAUUUAGAUAACUCCAAUGCCAAGAAAAAUCAAGGUAGCCAGCGUACCCUGCCUGGAACAUGGCUACCAGGGUCCUAACCUGGAGCCAAGCCUGGAGAGAGGCUCAAGGGCGAUGAUCAGUUGGCCCAGCCGGGCUCAAGCUGAAGAAGCUAUAUGGGUCAAUUCUUCUGUGGGACACUACUUUGGGAUUUGUGGAUCGGGCAGAGGUCCUGGUGCUCUGAUGCACACAUCUGCAGUGAUGUGGAUCGAUGAGCUUCUUUCAUAAAGGAGCUGGGCUCUCCCUUAGAGAUGGGGUGAGGAGCUUGGUCAAUUGAGAGUAAAGUUGCUGCUCCUUCACAUAAAAAGGAGCCCAUUAAGGUUUUUCCAGCCUUGUCCAACCAGAAGGAGGCCUCGGGUUUGACAGAGGAGAUUGUGUAUCAUGGCUAGAUUGCGAGUGACUGUGUGUCCCGCAUAUGAUCUGGAAGAAGUGGCUAGAUGCAACCACUCAAAUGUGUAAUUUCAUCUAGACUUAAAACAUGAACUGUGUGUGUGCAGUGGUUUAUGCUUGCUAGUAAACAAUGUUUGGAAAAGAAAAGGGUAAAACUACCUGUUUGUUUUUCAGUCUCUUUCAGAUCUGACAACAUCUAGAACAUGAAAUCAUGACAGUGAAGUUUGUAUGUAGUUAAAUCCUAGAACCUCAACAGGGCUAAAAUAAUGAAACAGGUUUCCUGAGGACGUGGGCUUCCAUGCAAACCAUGACACCAGAUGGGCCAGGUCAGCUUGGAGUGCAGAUCAACACAGCCCUGUCCUCCAGCACCAUCAGCAGCAGC